CAGUAGCCGCGGGAAUACGAGGGGGGCAAGCGUUGUUCGGAAUUAUUGGGCGUAAAGGGUGCGUAGGCGGUUCAGCAAGUCUCGUGUGAAAUCUUCGGGCUCAACCCGAAGUCUGCACGGGAAACUACUGGGCUUGAGUAAUGGAGAGGUGAGUGGAAUUUCCGGUGUAGCGGUGAAAUGCGUAGAUAUCGGAAGGAACACCUGUGGCGAAAGCGGCUCACUGGACAUUUACUGACGCUGAUGCACGAAAGCUAGGGGAGCAAACAGGAUUAGAUACCCCUGUAGUCCCUGUCUCUUAUAC
rnacentral:rRNA from 1 species